rnacentral:lncRNA from 1 species
CCCCUCCAACUUCCCUGCAGCCUGGUCUGGGACAGACAGCAGGCUGUUUCCCAACCUCUAGCUAUAACUGGUGCCUUCAACAGCUCUGCCCAGGAGCCUUGUCAAAGGACUCAUGAGCUCAUUGAGGAUGGCAAUCACCAUCCUCCAAGAUAAGGUGCAAAGUGGUGUGAGACUUUCAGCUGUGCAGUCUAAAGCCUGGCUUGGAUCCUGCAUGCCUCUUCGGACUAGAAGCCCAGGAGGAAGUAGAGGGUCCUGACACUCCUGCAGCACCCUCCCUGCCUGCUGCAUGUGGUGGUGCUAGAGCCCGGGGACUGAAGGAAGAGGUGACCCUCCAUCUAUGCAGCUGUGGAGAGGGCAUCUUUCUGGUCAUUUGACUACUUGGGGGUGGGGCCCACCUGAUAUCCUGAGAAUAAGCCUAAUAAACUCACCGGUUCACCAAACUUGA